rnacentral:rRNA from 1 species
UGCGUAGGUGGCUGUUUAAGUUGGAUGUGAAAUACCCGGGCUUAACCUGGGGGGUGCAUUCAAAACUGGGCAGCUUGGAGUGCAGGAGAGGGAAGCGGAAUUCCUAGUGUAGCGGUGAAAUGCGCAGAUAUUAGGAGGAACACCAGUGGCGAAGGCGGCUUUCUGGACUGUAGCUGACACUGAGGCACGAAAGCGUGGGGAGCAAACA